rnacentral:misc_RNA from 1 species
GACUCACUGUGGAUGGAAUUCGAGUAUGGAGAGUUUGGCUUCGGGGGUUCCUGUCGUGGCGUGUCCUCUUUGGAUCGAUCAAUUAAGUAAUGCGAAGCUUAUUCAAGAUGUUUGGAAGACGGGAGUUAGAGUGAACGCCAACGAUGAAGGUGUUAUCGAGAGGAAUGAGUUCGCGAGGUGUAUGGAGAUUGUGGUGGGAGAUGGGGAAAAAGGGGAUGAAAUAAGAAAAAAUGCUAAGAAAUGGAGGGAUUUAGCUAAGGAUGCUAUGAAAGAAAAUGGUUCAUCUAAUGUCAAUCUCAAGGCUUACGUUAAUGAGAUUUUGCUUGGGGAAUAAAUCAUUUGUAAGGCCAAUUUACGUUACUCAGAGUCUCCAAAAAUGUUGAUGCAUCCGUUUGGCCAUCUUGGACAUCCCACGACUAUUUCACCAACUCAGGUAUCAAGUGAUUCUUCCCACCAAGGCAUUUGAUAUCAAGUGAUACAGUCGAUUUUUAUAAAUAAAUAGUUACAUGUUUGGAAUAAAAAUAAUAAACCAUGACAUGUU